UGAACGCUAGCUACAGGCUUAACACAUGCAAGUCGAGGGGCAGCAUGGUCUUAGCUUGCUAAGGCCGAUGGCGACCGGCGCACGGGUGAGUAACACGUAUCCAACCUGCCGUCUACUCUUGGACAGCCUUCUGAAAGGAAGAUUAAUACAAGAUGGCAUCAUGAGUCCGCAUGUUCACAUGAUUAAAGGUAUUCCGGUAGACGAUGGGGAUGCGUUCCAUUAGAUAGUAGGCGGGGUAACGGCCCACCUAGUCUUCGAUGGAUAGGGGUUCUGAGAGGAAGGUCCCCCACAUUGGAACUGAGACACGGUCCAAACUCCUACGGGAGGCAGCAGUGAGGAAUAUUGGUCAAUGGGCGAGAGCCUGAACCAGCCAAGUAGCGUGAAGGAUGACUGCCCUAUGGGUUGUAAACUUCUUUUAUAAAGGAAUAAAGUCGGGUAUGGAUACCCGUUUGCAUGUACUUUAUGAAUAAGGAUCGGCUAACUCCGUGCCAGCAGCCGCGGUAAUACGGAGGAUCCGAGCGUUAUCCGGAUUUAUUGGGUUUAAAGGGAGCGUAGAUGGAUGUUUAAGUCAGUUGUGAAAGUUUGCGGCUCAACCGUAAAAUUGCAGUUGAUACUGGAUAUCUUGAGUGCAGUUGAGGCAGGCGGAAUUCGUGGUGUAGCGGUGAAAUGCUUAGAUAUCACGAAGAACUCCGAUUGCGAAGGCAGCCUGCUAAGCUGCAACUGACAUUGAGGCUCGAAAGUGUGGGUAUCAAACAGGAUUAGAUACCCUGGUAGUCCACACGGUAAACGAUGAAUACUCGCUGUUUGCGAUAUACGGCAAGCGGCCAAGCGAAAGCGUUAAGUAUUCCACCUGGGGAGUACGCCGGCAACGGUGAAACUCAAAGGAAUUGACGGGGGCCCGCACAAGCGGAGGAACAUGUGGUUUAAUUCGAUGAUACGCGAGGAACCUUACCCGGGCUUAAAUUGCAGAUGAAUUACGGUGAAAGCCGUAAGCCGCAAGGCAUCUGUGAAGGUGCUGCAUGGUUGUCGUCAGCUCGUGCCGUGAGGUGUCGGCUUAAGUGCCAUAACGAGCGCAGCCCUUGUUGUCAGUUACUAACAGGUUCCGCUGAGGACUCUGACAAGACUGCCAUCGUAAGAUGUGAGGAAGGUGGGGAUGACGUCAAAUCAGCACGGCCCUUACGUCCGGGGCUACACACGUGUUACAAUGGGGGGUACAGAGGGCCGCUACCACGCGAGUGGAUGCCAAUCCCCAAAACCUCUCUCAGUUCGGACUGGAGUCUGCAACCCGACUCCACGAAGCUGGAUUCGCUAGUAAUCGCGCAUCAGCCACGGCGCGGUGAAUACGUUCCCGGGCCUUGUACACACCGCCCGUCAAGCCAUGGGAGCCGGGGGUACCUGAAGUGCGUAACCGCGAGGAGCGCCCUAGGGUAAAACUGGUGACUGGGGCUAAGU
rnacentral:rRNA from 1 species